AUUGAACGCUAGCGGGAUGCUUUACACAUGCAAGUCGAACGAGUGGCGGACGGGUGAGUAAUAUAUCGGAACGUGCCCAGUAGAGGGGGAUAACUACUCGAAAGAGUGGCUACUACCGCAUACUCUUGGAUCGGGCGAUAUAGGAUUGGCUAGUGGGGGGGGUAAAGGCGCACAACGGCAACGCUCCGUAGCUGGGUUGAGAGGACGACCAGCCACACUGGGACUGAGACACGGCCCAGACUCCUACGGGAGGCAGCAGUGGGGAAUGUUGGACAAUGGGGGAAACCCUGAUCCAGCAAUCCCGCGUGUAUGAGAAGGCCUUCGGGUUGUAAAGUACUUUUGGCAGAGAAGCGGUAUCUGCAGAAUAAGCACCGGCUAACUACGUGCCGGCCGCCGCGGUAAUAC
rnacentral:rRNA from 1 species